UUUCAAUACCACCGCCGGGAACUUAAUAAUGUGACAUCUAGCGGUAGUAAAUAAUGCAGGCGCUGCCAGCGCUCUGGCUGGCAGCAAAUAUCUCUAGUCCAUGGACGUAUGGAAUUAGCUGGAAGACGAUAUUGUAGUCUUACCGCAGAUAAUUAUUUCGUUUGUAAUUAAACAACAAUGUCGUCAGUUGAGAUUUUGAGAGUUUGUCAACGAGCGACUAACUGCUGCUGCUGAAGAAAUAUUCGGAGUUUAAAAAAAAAGAAGCUAUCGUCGAGUAACGUUACGAAGAAGAGAUCUAUCGUCUGGGCAGAGUGCUGGAUAUCGUUUGGAAACCUGAAAUAAAGUUACACGGGAUAGGGCUCCCUCAGCAGCAUGUCUGUAAAGAGGAGGAGGUUCUCGCAGACCAGCAGCUCUGUAUUCAGGAGAGAUACGUCAGUCUGCACCAAGAGGACCCCGAGCCUCCACAGAGGAAACAGGAGGAACUCUGCACCAGUCAGCACCAGCCGCUGGUUCUGAUGCAGGGGACUAAAACCUUUCUGUUGACUCCUACCAAUGAGAAAAGUAACCACAGUGAACCGGAACCAAAAAGUGACCACCAGCUCCUCUUCUCUCAACUCUUGUGUAGCAGAGAGUCAAGAUCAUAAAGGAAGCAAGCAUCAAGACUCAGGAUCAACUAGAAAUACAGAGCAAAAACCAAAGAGAAGACGUCACAAAAUAAUCACUGUAACAAUAUAAACAACUUUAACUUGUUAAAGAUUCACUGUAAACUCACACAGGUAAAACGUUUUUCCAAUGUGACCCUUGUGGCAAAGCAUUCAAGUUUAAGUCCCAAUUGUAUAAACACCUGAUAAUCCACACAAGUGACCUGUAUUGUUGACAAACGUGGAAAAAUAAAUUCACUUGGACAUCA